UACGGAGGGUGCGAAACAGUUGCUCGGAAUCAUUGGGCGUAAAGCGCACGUAGGCGGCCUGUUAAGUCGGAUGUGAAAGCCCCGGGCUCAACCCGGGAAGUGCAUUCGAAACUGGCGGGCUUGAAUAUGGAAGAGGGUCGCGGAAUUCCCGGUGUAGAGGUGAAAUUCGUAGAUAUCGGGAGGAACACCAGUGGCGAAGGCGGCGACCUGGGCCAAUAUUGACGCUGAGGUGCGAAAGCGUGGGGAGCAAACGGGG
rnacentral:rRNA from 1 species